GCUUAAAGCCAUAACAGCCUGAACAUGCCCAUUACCAUCUGAUCUCCAAAUCUAAGCAGUGCAGAGCCUGGUUAGCCCUUGGACAGGAGACCACCUGGAAAUACUGGGUAUGUCAAGCU
ensembl:rRNA 5S_rRNA 5S ribosomal RNA